rnacentral:rRNA from 1 species
AUUGAACGCUGGCGGCAUGCUUUACACAUGCAAGUCGAACGGCAGCACGGGGGCAACCCUGGUGGCGAGUGGCGAACGGGUGAGUAAUGCAUCGGAACAUACCCAGUCGUGGGGGAUAACGUAGCGAAAGUUACGCUAAUACCGCAUGCGUCCUGAGGGAGAAAGCGGGGGAUCGCAAGACCUCGCGCGAUUGGAGUGGCCGAUGUCAGAUUAGCUAGUUGGUGGGGUAAAGGCCCACCAAGGCGACGAUCUGUAGCGGGUCUGAGAGGAUGAUCCGCCACACUGGGACUGAGACACGGCCCAGACUCCUACGGGAGGCAGCAGUAAGGAAUAUUGGACAAUGGGCGGAAGCCUGAUCCAGCCAUGCCGCGUGAAGGACGAAGGCGCUCAGCGUUGUAAACUUCUUUUGGAUGGGAACAAUAACUCCGACUUGUCGGAACUUGAGGGUACCAUCAGAAUAAGCACCGGCUAACUCCGUGCCAGCAGCCGACGG